rnacentral:rRNA from 1 species
AGCGAACGCUAGCGGCGAGCUUAACACAUGCAAGUCGAGCGGAGGGUUUCGGCCCUCAGCGGCGGACGGGUGAGUAACACGUAGGUUACGUGCCCUUUGGUGGGGAAUAACUUAGGGAAACCUGAGCUAAUACCGCAUAUGCCCUUCGGGUGAAAGUCUUCGGACGCCAGAGGAUCGGCCUGCGGCCCAUUAUUUAAUCCUUGUUGGUGGGGUAACGGCCUACCAAGGGUACGAUGGGUAGCUGGUCUGAGAGGAUGAUCAGCCACACUGGGACUGAGACACGGCCCAGACUCCUACGGGAGGCAGCAGUGGGGAAUAUUGGACAAUGGGGGAAACCCGUGAUCCAGCUACGCCGCGUGGGUGAUGAAGGCCUCGGUUGUAAGA